UUAUAGUCCCCAAAAUACAGUAUAUCUUUGGGUCUAAUUAUUCUCCAUUGGUUUUAGGUAAUGACAGUGUUCUGGAUUUGCUGUAAAAUAAUCCAGCCAAACAAAACAGAACAAAACAAAACAAAACAAAAUAAAAAAAAACUAAUAACAAAAGAAAAACAACAUGAUUAAAGAUGGGUAAGUUUUAGAUAAUUCUUGAAACUGGUUGAUGGAACUGUAAGAGUUUACUCCACUUUUUACUUCACUUCUUUUGUAUGUUUACAAAUUUGAGAAAAAGGUAGUUAAAAAUCCCAUCUUCUCUCUAUAUUGGUUUUCAUUUCUUAAGAUACGAUAUAGUGUAGUGAUGAAGGGCAUGGUCUCUGGCAAUAGACUGCUUGGGUUUGCAUCCUGCCUCUGCUCUUUCCUAGCUCUGUGCCUUUGGGCUGGUUAUCAAUCUCUCUGUGGCUCUGCUUUCUUAUUGUAAAAUAAUAAUAUAAAUAAUAAUAAAGUGCAAAAACCACCAUAGGAUUGAUGAGAACAUUAAGUGGAAUUAAUAAAUGCAAAGUGCUUAGAACAGAGCCUUGCAUAAUAGUAAUCAUGAUGUUUCCAUGACCGUUUCCAUCCAUGGGCCAUAUGCAUGAAGUUCUAUGUUGAGAAAGACUUAAAAACUCAGUUGGAAAAAUUGCUGUGAGGGAUUAACUGUGUCUGGAAUGAGGUAAGGAAAGUGAUAGUGAUAACACACAUCUCAGUCAAGUAGAUGACAGCCAUUCCAUUCCUAAAUUUUUAUAAUCACCUCCCAUGUAUGGUAAAGACCUUUCUGAAGGUUAGAGGAAAACAUGUAUCAUUUAUUAAAUUUUAAGGUAGGCAGUUCUGGAAAUUGAUCAGUUGAUUUUUAUGGGAGUCUCUUGCUUUUGAGCUAUAACCUUGUGGUUGUUUAGAUAUUUAUAAAAUAUAGGCAAGAGACAAUAUAGGCAAAUAUAGAAAGUUGUGUUUUGACUUUAUCUAAAGGGCUCUGCCAUGUCAUUAGCAUGUUAUCAUUUAAGAAAAUAUAUUCAGUUGGGUUCCUUUAAAUAAAAGAUAUUUAUACAAGGUGACUAAUACAUACCACAUUAAUCUAAGCUGAUGGCAUUUCAAACCUCUGCUCAAAAUAGAAACUGAGAGUUGAAUCUGACUUUAUUUCUGUGCCUUUCUAAUGCCAGUAGGAAAAACUGGGAACAUUUGAUUUUGUAGUACAUAAAGGGCUUCACAUAGCUUCCUGUUUUUUUAGUCUAAUAUCAUUGUACUAGGGUUUUACUUUGUCAACUAUCUCAAUCCUAUUUGAGUGGGUAGGGCAAAGAGAAUACUGAGAACAAAAUCCAAAAUAAGCUCUGAUUCUCUCUGGAAAUGAGGAAGUCAAACACACGUCAUUGAUGAAUUUAAAUAUCUAUUUCCAUGGAAUAUAUAAUUAUGUAAUUUAAAUUAUUCUUUAUAAGGAAAAAAUAGAACCAUUUUCACUGAAUCAUGCUGUGAAUAUUUUCUAGUUAUUUCCACACAUUUAACUCUUGCUUUUACUCCUCUCUUUAACUUCUUUCACACACAUUUACAAAAGAGAACAUGGUCCUUCUGAGUACUAGUCAUUGCCUGUAAGUGAAAAUGUUGUGUGAAGCUGAAAGGGUCCAAUAUUGAGAAUAACAGGUCUGAAAAUUUAGUGAUUAGCUCUGAAGUUGGCUUCAAAAAAGGUCUGAAGGCAUGAAUCAGGCUACAAGGGCAUAAGGAAGGUGAAGAAUAUUGAUGGAUGUUCAGAACUUUGGUGGAGAAAGACAAGGACCGUAACUCAGUAGAAAGAGGGGUAAGUAGUAAAGGAGAGAUUGAAGAGGAGUUGAAAGCAGUGAGGACAGCAGAUGGGGUUGUUCCUAGAGUAUGCAGAGGGAAUGAUAUGAAAUGCACAGGUGGGGAGGAUAGCCAUGAAGACAGAAAGAAACGGGUAAAUGAUGAGUCCAGAGAAAUGUUGAACAAAAGAAAAAGAGCUACAAGGAGAUCACCUUAGUUAACAGCUAACUUCAUUUGUCUCAGGUAAUUGAAAAGUAGGGUUUGGACACAGCCAACAUAAUGGAGUUGGGGUUUUGUUAAGUAAAAAGCAUCUCAUGCUUACCUGGAGUGAUACAUUAUGAGUCAAUUAAAGGUGAAGGGAGAACUGAAGAGUUUUGUAUACCUGGAAGUUGGAGAUUAUGAUUUCAUACCGGACACAAUCUACCAAACUUUAGGACUGUCUCUAGUGAUUGUGGUAAUUCACCUUCUCUUAUAGUUCCUACUGUACUGUACAUUAGAGCAUUCCAAAUCCCAGAGUGAAUAUACAAUGUUUCUUAGGAGCUUUGAGUCAACAGACAUUUAAAGACAGCCCCAUGCAGGCAGAGGGGCUGGGUGGCAGGGGUGUGGGGACAUGAUCCCUCACUGCCUUUCCCCUUCCCUGCCCUGCUGUACCAAUCCCUGUGGAAUUUCAGGGAACAUGUUAGGAAAUCACUUGCUCUGUAGUGAGUAUAUCUAGUUGGCUCAAGACUUGGAGACAGAAUUCACUACUGUGGUCAAAAGAAUAAAAUACUAUUCAAAAAUUUAAAUUCCUUCUCAUUGCCAAAAAAGGCAUUUUCUUGAUUGCUUGUUGAAUACGAAGGGUCCUUGCAUAUCUAUAAAUGUCUCUGUCCAAUAGAACUUUCUGUGAUGAUGAAGCACUCCACAUUUGUGCUCUUGGUAGCCAUUGGGAUCAUUUAACCAUUUCAGUAUGGCCAGUCUAACUGAGAAAUUGACUUCUAACUGGUUAGUUUUAAUAACUAAAUUUAAGUAGCUACAAUAGCUACAAUAGCUAAUGGCUACCCCAUUGGACAACACAAUUAUAUAUUGUAUUAUUAGUUUAGAUUUUUUAAAGGAUACAAUAAUGCUUCUGACCAUAACUCUUUAAGAUUUAUAUGGCAGGCAUUUAUUUCUUCAUUCAGGUGAGGCAUCCCCCAUGAAUCCCUGAAGACUGGAGCUUUAGGCUUCUUGGUUUAGACUCAGGGCUAAUAAAGAACUCAUGUUUGAUCCAUUUAAAGUCUUUAUAGGGGUUAGUGCAGGGGAGACUUUCUUAAGUCAUAGAUGCUUCCUCUGAUCCUGACUGGUUGUUUACUAAGUUCAUACCAUUGUCCAUCAAAAUAGGUCAUAGGAGAUAGAAUAAAUCCUUCACAGAGAGCAUUUCCUUCAUGUAUGAGAACAGCAGAGUGUGUAUCAUUUAACAUUUUGUUUAGGAUAUCUUUGUGGAGUAUAAAUAUAGUAACUUAGUUUCAUUCUGUCUAGACAAAGUUGGACAAUAUCGGAACUAGAAGGAAAAGGUGGGGAUGAGAGAAAUAUGUGAAGUACAAGGAAAGAUGGAGGGGAAGGUAAGGAAGGAGAGCAAGGGGAGUGAGGUGCAGGUGGCAAUGUGUCUGUUGUGGGAAAUAACUGAGAGGGGGUUAGGGAGCCACAGUGCCCUGUGGACUUCCUUCUGGUUCAGCAGCUCUCCUGUCCUGAGCAACCCCAAACUCCCACUCUCCCCAGGUGUGGGCACAGUGAGAGCUAGAGUGAAAACCCAAGGUCAAGAUCAAGGUCCUCCUUAGGGUCUUUUGAGAUGCAGACAUUUGUAUUUUCACAUAAGAGAAAUGCCAAACUAUUGUUGACAUAUUAUUUAGCCAGUCAGAUAAAACUUUUAAAUGGGUGCUUAUAGGUAAAAAAGAAAACUUCAUCCCUGUGAAUUGCAAAUCAUACCCUGUAAAUUUGCUCUGCAGACAAUAGACAUUAAAUUACUUUGGGCACUUUGUAUUAUACAUUCCUGAGCAAGAGCAGAUUGGAUUGAAAACAAGACAAGGUGGGAGAGAAACACUAUCAAUGAAGUGAAAUGUAGAAUUUUAUCUGCUAGUGAAUACUACAAGCUGCAAUGAAAUAUUACAAACUUUGUGAUUAAGUAUGUCUAGAUUGCAUUAAUGCCAUAACUGCUGUUAAUAUGGGUCUAUUCAACCAACAGACAUAAAAAAUUCUGCCUGGUGAGCAUGGUAACUUUUGGACAUUAAACUGACAUUUCAUUGAAUAUUCUUACACAGUUGAAUGCAUGCAGGUUGUAUAUGAGACAUUUUGGGUAGCUUGGCAAUUUUGGUAAAAUAGAUUCACCACUGGGGUUUGAAUACCAUUGAGCACUGGGGUAUGCACUUGUGAACUUGGCCCUGGGGUCUGGAAGUUCCUCUGUGGCUAUGCUAUUAUGUAAAGAUGAUUUUGACCAUGCUGCAUGUUCAUCAGCCAUACACUUUGGGGUAACCAAUAACCAGAGUCACUAAAAACUAGGUGUUGUUCUUUGAUUUCCUUUUAUUGUAGUUGGUCUUGUCAAAAAUUACAAAUUUAAAUGCUGGAAUAAUUAUUUGUAUAUACUGAAGUUAAUAUAUCUUUUGUAUCUCUGUAUCAAAUAUAUUUCAUAAUAUUAUAUUAAAAUUUAUUUUCUUGGUUCCCUUUAAAUUAGCAAGGUGAAAUAUAAGGAGAGCUGGACUGGUAGCCAGGAAUAAGGCCUCUAACCUCAGCUGUCUGCGGCCUCAGGCAAUUUCUGCUUCACUUGUUUGGGCCUCAGGUUCUUCAUCUGUGAAUUGAGGCUUUCAGAUUUGGUGAUAUUCAACACUGCCUCCAAAUGAUUCUUUAAAAACAGUCUCAGAAUUUCAAGCCAAAUGAUAGGAUGUGUGUGUUUAUUCUAGUUAAUGGUUGUGGGACCAUAACAAAGUAUGAUAUCAACUGGACCAACCAGGCAUUAGAGAGUUGUUACUUUUGAUGUCAGUGUGUAGAUGUCUGUGAAUAAUGUUCUGUUUUAACUUGGAG